rnacentral:lncRNA from 1 species
CUCUGGGUACCCUAAUAAACUUAGCGCUCUUUUGGUCCAGGGGGAGUCUCUCUCCAAUGAAGAGCCCUGGGCUGGGGCUGGGGUUUCCUGGCUAACCCGGGAAGGGGCGGGCAGGGGCAGGAAAACUAUCAGAGGGAAGAAGGAAGAGGGACUGGAAACUCCCUUCCAAGCACCAGAAAGAAAGUUCAAAGCAAGCAUAUCAGUGGUGUGUCCUGAGAGCUAUUUUCAUAUAUGAAAGAGGGAAUGUUAGAUUAAACAAUGUCACCUGAUGGGAAUUUAGAUUACUGCAGGUUUCCAAAACACUAUGCAGAGUGUACAGGAAAACAGCACAAAGAAAGGAAGUUUUGCACUUCAGUAGGAUUCUGAAGCAGGUGCUUAUUUACCACAACCUAGAACCUUCCCAAUGAUUUUAUUUCAAACACAAAAAGAACAUUUUUUUUAAAAAAAUACUUUUAAGAGUUGACUAAUGACCUGGAUAUCACUAAACAUAAUACUUUCUUUUGGAAAGUAAUCUCUCCAUGAUUAGAGUUCCUUAUCUGAGCCACCCAAAGAAACUAAUCUGUUGUCCUAGAUUCUUUCUGGUGCUUUUGUUUAUUUGGUUGGUUGGUUGGUUUUUUGUGGGGCUAGGGAUCAAGCCUAGGGCCUUGCAUAGGCUUGGUAAGUGCUCUACUACUGACCUACAUACAUCCCCAGCGUCCCCCCCCCAGAUGUUGGAAGUUUCAUGAGAUGGCCCCACUGUAGAUGGGUGUUCUCCAGACAACAGCUAGGAACUAAAAACUCAAACCACUCUUCAGCGCCUAAGGACUUACCAGCCCCCUCAGAUUCCCUAACAGGAUCAUCUCCCAACCUGUGGUCACAGACCUGUCCUCCCCAGAAUUGUCCCCACAUCUUUGCUGCACAAGGGAUGACCCAUCUUCUCUUGAGGUUCACACAGUCAGGGCUUCCAGGCUGAAGUUCUCACACCUUAGACCAAGUUGCUUCCUGAAGUUGUUCAUUAUUUGUUGAGCCUUAUCACAGUGAUAAUAAUAAUCAUGGUUUUAUAAGGCAUUUCUACAUAGGAAUCACUUCAUUUGGGUAUCAUAAAAAUCACUAAUGUUGGGCACUUGUAGCAAAACUCUUCCCAGUGAAGCAUACUUCAUCCACCAUUAUUAAAUCAUGCUCACUGAAGAGAGACUUGAAGUACUUUUAGACCAAAAAAACCCUCUAACUAUAAAAAAGCCUUGAUCUCACCAACUAUGUGGGUAUUAAUGAGAUCAUACUUUGCUCACUGUAAUUUCUGUAUUGUAGGACCUAUGUGAAACAACAGUGUGGCUUGAACAGUAAAUACUUGGGUAAAAUACUAGGAUAAAUGAGCUGCCUUACAAAGGUCACAUGUGUUAUUACUUCACCACCACCACCACCUCCGGCCAUUCCAAAAUACCCAGCACACAAGAUCAGAGGCUGCACCAAACUUCAAGCAAAAAUUAGGCCCAUGAGGGGAGGCUCUCAGCUGGUGCCAUCCAGACGGAAGCACUUGUUGGCCACAUAAGUCAUCUUAGCACACAAGGCCCUCCUCUCCAUCUGUGCAGAGCACACUGCUUAUGACCUCUCCUCAUCAGUGUGAAGCUUGCAGUUUUCCAUGCUUCUGUGACUGAUUUCAUUACAACACAUUUUCCUUGGGGGGUCUUCAUUUAAAUUACAGAAGAGCCAGUUGUAUGCAAGCCUGAAAUCCCAGCCCUCAGGGAGGGUGAGGCAAGAGGAUCUCUGUAAAUUCUGUGAGUUCUGGGCCAGCCUGGGCUACAUAGUGAGACCCUGUCCUAAAACAAAACAAACAAACAAGAAACACAACUAUAUUUUUUGGUUUUGCUGUCAUUGUAGUCAUAGGGGUAAACCCAGGGCCUUCACACUAAACUAUAGCCACAGCCCUUUUUCAUUGUUUAUUUUGAAACAGGAGCUUCCUCAGUCACUAAGUUACCCAGGCUGGGCUCAAAUUUGUGAUCUUUCUGCCUCAGCCUCCCCAAGUACCGGGAAUUCCAGGCGUGCUCGAUCAUGCCCAGCACAACUAUCUUAUGAGUAUCUGUGUCUCUCAGGUUAUGGAAAUAUCAAAGUUGUAUCCUGAGUUUGUCAUUUAGUCAGAACAGAAAAAGCAACCGCGCACAUCAAAGAUUUCCCCAUCAAUCCCUUACUUCCAUUGACCAGGCAAGUAUUUCUCCAGGCAGCACUGAAGGCCUUCUAGUGUGUUGAUGCUUCUGCUAUUUGUUCAUUAAUUCAAGGAAUGUUUGCUGAAUGCUUAUUGUGCAGGUCUCUAUUAAGGAAGCUGUUUUUGUUGUUGCUGUCGUAGUUGCUGUGCUGGGGAUCAAAUACUGGGCUUCAUGCAUGCUAGGAAAGUACCAGUAAGCUAUAUCCCCAGCCCAGGAAGCUGUUCACAGUGAACCAAACACAGUGGAAUUUACAGCCUAGUCUCAAGUGGAGUGGGAGUUAGGAUGCACA